GGUACGGUUUCUUCUGCGUACGGUUCGUGCCAAAGUGAUAUACGCAUCUCGGCAGAAAAGCGAGAGAUAUUUUGAGGCUCGUUCGAUCAAGCGUGUGCUCCGACUCAGUAAGAGACGCACGAACCUGACAGGAGUGCCGUGGGAUGAUCGGGACCAUGUCGGGGUGUUUUGGGAAUUAGCGUGAGGUGCCAUCAUACCAGAUAGAAGAAAAAAAAAUAUAGAAGACACCGAGUGCUGGCUGGUUAUUUACGCGAUGUUUUAUUGUGGAUGGAGCGAGAUAGAAGCUUAUGAUUAUUUAUUGUGCCAGAGAGAAAAACGGAAGGACGAGGAAAGAGGACCCUCAUUGGUAUGACAGCACAUCAUUGCGUGAAGAGCAGACUAUGGCAUAGCACGGGAUCAAGUACAAGUAUCGACAGCCGGUGGCGCCGUCAUCAGAGGCAACUCGAUCCUCACCGGUGAUUCCUCUGCUGUACAUGCUCAUGUUAUCCUCCGGUUUUGGUUUCUUCACGGCGUGGCUGGCUAUCGGGCAGCCCGACAAGGACCU